AAACUACUCCCUCCGUUCGGAAUUACUUGUCGCGAAAAUGGAUGUAUCUAGAUGUAUCUUAAUUCUAGAUACAUCUAUUUUCGAGACAAGUAAUUCCGAACGGAGGGAGUAGGAA
rfam:Triticum aestivum genome assembly, contig: Triticum_aestivum_CS42_TGACv1_scaffold_220815_3B